rnacentral:rRNA from 1 species
UACGUAGGGGGCGAGCGUUGCCCGGAUUUAUUGGCGUAAAGCGCGCGCAGGCGGAUCUGUGCGUCGGGCGUGAAAUCCCCCGGCUCAACUGGGGGGGGGGUCGUGCGAUACGGCAGAUCUGGAGCGAGGCAGAGGGUAGCGGAAUUCCCGGUGUAGUGGUGGAAUGCGUAGAGAUCGGGAGGAACACCAGUGGCGAAGGCGGCUACCCUGGACCUCGGGCUGACGCUGAGGCGCGAAAGCGUGGGGAGCGAGUCCGG